rnacentral:tRNA from 1 species
GAGCCUGUAGCUCAGUUGGUAGAGCACUUGACUUUUAAUCACGGGGUCCCGGGUUCGAAUCCCGGCAGGCUCA